GAUGUUGUGGCACAGUGGUUAAGGCGACGGACCAGAAAACCAUUGUGGUCUCCCUGCACAGAUUUGAAUCCUGCCAACAAUA